rnacentral:rRNA from 1 species
CCUACGGGGGGCAGCAGUCGAGAAUCAUUCACAAUGGGGGAAACCCUGAUGGUGCGACGCCGCGUGGGGGAAUGAAGGUCUUCGGAUUGUAAACCCCUGUCAUGUGGGAGCAAAUUAAAAAGAUAGUACCACAAGAGGAAGAGACGGCUAAAUCUGUGCCAGCAGCCGCGGUAAUACAGAGGUCUCAAGCGUUGUUCGGAAUCACUGGGCGUAAAGCGUGCGUAGGCUGUUUCGGAAGCCGGGUGUGAAAGCCGCGGCACCAACCCGCGGACGGCACAUGAUACUGCGAGGCUAGAGUAAUGGAGGGGGAACCGGAAUUAUCGGUGUAGCAGUGAAAGGCGUAGAUAUCGAGAGGAACACUCGUGGCGAAGGCGGGUUCCUGGACAUUAACUGACGCUGAGGCACGAAGGCCAGGGGAGCGAAAGGGAUUAGAUACCCUAGUAGUC